rnacentral:rRNA from 1 species
UCGGGAUGGAAGGAUAAGAACUUAGUGGCGGACGGGUGAGUAACGCGUGGGUAACCUGCCCUUUUGUGGGGAACAACUUCGAGAAAUCGGAGCUAAUACCGCAUAAUAAUAGAGGAUCGCAUGAUUCUUUAAGGAAAGAUGGCCUCUGAAGAUGCUAUCGCAAAAGGAUGGACCCGCGUCUGAUUAGCUAGUUGGAAGGGUAACGGCCUACCAAGGCAACGAUCAGUAGCCGGCCUGAGAGGGUGAACGGCCACAUUGGGACUGAGACACGGCCCAAACUCCUACGGGAGGCAGCAGUGGGGAAUCUUCCGCAAUGGGCGAAAGCCUGACGGAGCAAUGCCGCGUGAGUGAAGAAGGCCUUCGGGUUGUAAAACUCUGUCCUUAUCGAAGAGAGGUAGGUAUGUGAAUAAUGUACCUAUAGGACGGUAGAUAAGGAGGAAGCCCCGGCUAACUACGUGCCAGCAGCCGCGGUAAUACGUAGGGGGCGAGCGUUGUCCGGAAUCACUGGGCGUAAAGGGCGCGUAGGCGGUUUAAUAAGUCAGUGGUGAAAACUGAGGGCUCAACCCUCAGCCUGCCACUGAUACUGUUAGACUUGAGUAUGGAAGAGGAGAAUGGAAUUCCUAGUGUAGCGGUGAAAUGCGUAGAUAUUAGGAGGAACACCAGUGGCGAAGGCGAUUCUCUGGGCCAAGACUGACGCUGAGGCGCGAAAGCGUGGGGAGCAAACAGGAUUAGAUACCCUGGUAGUCCACGCCGUAAG